rnacentral:lncRNA from 1 species
AACGAUUGCUUCUAGAUAUGGUCUGAUUUUGCCUAGGCUACACAGUAAAGGGUAUAAAACAUGAUCACUUUUUUUAUGGGAGGGAAAUGGAAUGCAACACAUGAUUGGAUCAUCACUCACAUUCCAUCAAAACACAAAGUGCUUUCAUUGGAUAACAAAAGCCAAAGAUGGAAGGCAUAUAAUAUUCCCACCAAUCAUGAGCCCCAAUCAUGAGCUCGGUAGCUCUGGUCAAAGACAGACCGGUCAGGAGUCUUCUCCAGGAUGACCCGUGGAGCAGUAUACAGUGUCCUCAUGUCUGGUGUGUUUCUGUUCCUCCAGGCAGAGGAGUUGAGAGACAAGGCUGCCAUCGUCUCAGACAAACCUCCAACCCCUGCCCAGGUCAUCCAGGCUAAAGGAGCAGAGGUGUCCCAGAAGAGCAAGAUGAGCGCCAACGGAGUGUGAGGAGGAGCUAACAGUGAGCAGGACUGCAGCUUGACCACACCACAACCCCGUGUCCUCGUGGGUGGGGGGGCUAGACAAUCAAGCUAAUCGACAACCUAAGGGAUCAGUCAACCCAACCACCCAUCUACCCUCCUUAACGCCGCCUCCUCCUGAGUCUAAGAUCCCUGUAUAGCCAAUGGGCUUGGUGUCUGAUGGAGAGAGGGGUCAUAAGAUCAUCACAUGAGAUGUUAAUGCCAUCAGACCAGACGACGUUUGGCUAAGAUGACACUGUUGCUCUCUUUAAUUUUGUCCAUGGAUCAGAGCCCUCUCCUCACUGGCUACACCUGGAUUGAGGCCGCUGGCAGGCGUUUCAAACGGGACACACACCUCUUGUCUGUUCAGUCUCUGGUUCUUCUCACCUGCAUCUAUUUGGUUUCAAGUUCAUGCACUCCAUCCAUUGGGUUUCACACUCAAACUCAGCAGGACAAUGUAAUGUAACGAAAACUCUGAAAAGCCCCUGGAUUGGGAUAAUUGUUUUGUUUUGGGAUCACAGUAACCCAGUGAUGUAACAAAUAUUAUUAUUAUUUUUAUGUCCUUGAAGAGUAGACACAGGCUGGUUGGUUGGUCUGGUGUAACUUUAGUCUGUUUCACUUCAGGUUGUUUUUAGACUCAUUCAUUAGGCGCUGAAGCUGAUUCCUCUUGACUAGAUACACCUCAAAGGCGAAAGCAGUGGGUGGCCGCGGUGUGUUAAAGGCGUCCACAUGCUUCCCAGACUAAACAGUUCGGUAGAGUAUGUGCAAAAAUUAUGCUGACGUUUUGUGACGCUUUUGUUCGUUUUGGUCAAGCCGAAGUUCGGAGCCGAAGUCUACACCCCUUCAUCGGUGAUUGUUCAACAGUAGGAAUUCUCCGAUAAAGUCUUUGUUGUCAUUCAGCUAGAGACGACUCGUCUUCAUGACAUUUUUCUCAUAAAGAAAUACUGCGCCAAACAUCUUAGUUAGAUGUAAAAUUUCGCAACUAAGAUCUCUUGGGCAAAAACGUCAAAAUUAAUGACAGGUUUCUUGAGUUAUCUUAGAUUAAUUCGGACUUUUGAGGAAGUGUACAGUCAUUUUGAGACUGGCUACGGCGUUUGAUGCUUUUUUUCUUGUUUUUCAAGCAAGUGUAUUUUAAGGGAGUAUGCAAGCACACUCGUUCGGUUAGGCGCCAGCCGAGCUUAAGCAUGCUGACGCCUUUAGGGGUCACCACCUUGGUGUCGACAAACGGUGGUGAUUCAACAUGUAGAGUUGUUGUGAAGUGAACAGAAAAUGACGGCCGACAUUUUGGUCAGAGGUGAUAGGACGGCCACCCGCUGCUUUGAAAAGGUGUGUUUUGUAUGUUCGAGUUGGCUGAAUCACCUCCAGAUCAGACUAACAAAAACCACCACCACCAACUCUUCCUCUUGUAUAUUUGUAAAUACCCUGUACAAUGUUCAUUGUAUGGUAGAAAAGGUACAACUGCUCUGUCCAGUUGGUUUGCCACUCCCUCAAGCUCUCUCAAAACUAAAGAGUUCUAUGAACUUUUGCCCUCCUAAUAUUUAAUUUUUUGUUUGUUGAAUAUUUCAAUCUUAAGACUGGGCAACACUUCACUUUAACUUGCCUUUAUGCCAUGAAGUUACUCUCUAACUACCCUGGAAACCAGACUAAUUGUUCAGAUGUAAAUGGUAAUUGCAGAUAAGGUACAAAACACUAAUGUCUAAAGUAAGGACAUUUUACAAAUUAUGUCCAGGUAGUUACAGUGUAGUUGCAUUUAAUUACACCAGAAAAUGUAACACGUGGUAUCUAUGCAAUUUAUUGUGAAGUGUCACCCUAUGACUGAAUGAAGUGGCAUUGUGUAGUUGAUUGCAGCUGUAAAUAGUACAUGAACACUGAUUAUUUUUGAUUGUAAGAGAGCGAGAGAGUUCACUCAUUAACACAGGAGAGGCUGUAGUAGCGCCUAAUUAAGCAAUAAGGCCCGAGGAGGUGUGGUGUAUAUGGCCAAUAUACCACGGCUAAGGGCUGUUCUUAGGCAUGACGCAACGCACAGCCCUUUGCCGUGGUAUAUUGGCCAUAUAUCACAAACCCCCAAGGAACGUUAUUGCUAUUAUAAACUGGUUACCAAUGUAUUUGGAGCAGUAAAAAUAAAUAUUUUGUCAUACCCGUGGUAUACGGUGUGAUAUACCACGGCUUUCAGCCAAUCAGCAUUCAAGGCUCAACCACCCAGUUUAAAACUUGAUUAUAAACACAACCGC